AUAUAAUGCUUCUUGUGCCUUCUUUCUUCUUCAUAUAAUUCAAAUCAAAUAGACAAAUACAAGCUAGCACAUAUAUAGCAUAUAUAUCCUAAUCACACCAGAAUGAGGCCUGCGGUGAUUGCAACACUACUACUAUUAUUGUUGAUGGUGGAAAUUAGCUCUUGUAUGGCUACAUAUAAUAAUAGAAGAGCAUUGGUGAUGACAAAUUUGCAUGAAGAUCAUCAAUUAUUACCACAAAAUGAUGGAGUAUUAAGUGAUGAUAAUGAUCACCAUCAAAUCCCAAGAAAGGAAUAUGAUAAUAAACCUGGCUCAGGCCAACAUACAAUCACUGAUGAAAAUGAUAAUGGUCACCAUAUGAUUCCUCGCAAGGAUUAUCCCCCACAUACUAUAGCCAAUGCAGGAGGAGGAAAUUAAUUAACUUAAUUAAUGUUUUAUUAUU